rnacentral:rRNA from 1 species
UACGGAGGAUGCAAGCGUUAUCCGGAAUGAUAGGGCGUAAAGCGUCCGCAGGUGGCAAUGUAAGUCUGCUGUCAAAGCGUCUGGCUCAACCAGAUAAAGGCAGUGGAAACUACAUAGCUAGAGUAAGGUAGGGGUAGAGGGAAUUCCUGGUGUAGCGGUGAAAUGCGUAGAGAUCAGGAAGAACACCGGUGGCGAAAGCGCUCUGCUGGACCUUAACUGACACUGAGGGACGAAAGCUAGGGGAGCGAAUGGG